rnacentral:rRNA from 1 species
CCAAUAGCGUAUAUUAAAGUUGUUGCAGUUAAAAAGCUCGUAGUUGAAUUUCGGGGUCAGCAAGUUGGUCGUGCCACUGGUAUGUACUGGCUUCGCUGAUUCCUCCUUUCUGAAGAACUGUAAUGCCAUUAAUUUGGUUUUGCAGGGAAACAGGACUGUUACUUUGAAAAAAUUAGAGUGUUUAAAGCAGGCUAACGCUUGAAUACAUUAGCAUGGAAUAAUGAAAUAGGACGUUCGAUCCUAUUUUGUUGGUUUCUAGGAUUGACGUAAUGAUUAAUAGGGAUAGUUGGGGGCAUUAGUAUUCAAUUGUCAGAGGUGAAAUUCUUGGAUUUAUUGAAGACUGACUACUGCGAAAGCAUUUGCCAAGGAUGUUUUCAUUAAUCAAGAACGAAAGUUAGGGGAUCGAAGACGAUCAGAUACCGUCGUAGUCUUAACCAUAAACUAUGCCGACUAGGGAUCGGAUGAUGUUAAUUUUUUAAUGACUCAUUCGGCGCCUUACG